UACGUAGGGGGCAAGCGUUGUCCGGAUUUAUUGGGCGUAAAGAGCGUGUAGGCGGCCACACAGGUCUGCUGUGAAAACUCGAGGCUCAACCUCGAGCUGUCGGUGGAAACCGUGUGGCUAGAGUCCGGAAGAGGAGAGUGGAAUUCCCGGUGUAGCGGUGAAAUGCGCAGAUAUCGGGAAGAACACCCGUGGCGAAGGCGGCUCUCUGGGACGGUACUGACGCUGAGACGCGGAAAGCGUGGGGAGCGAACAGG
rnacentral:rRNA from 1 species